rnacentral:rRNA from 1 species
GACGAACGCUGGCGGCGUGCAUAAUACAUGCAAGUAGAACGCUGAAGGAGGAGCUUGCUUCUCUGGAUGAGUUGCGAACGGGUGAGUAACGCGUAGGUAACCUGCCUGGUAGCGGGGGAUAACUAUUGGAAACGAUAGCUAAUACCGCAUAAUAGUAGAUGUUGCAUGACAUUUGCUUAAAAGGUGCAAUUGCAUCACUACCAGAUGGACCUGCGUUGUAUUAGCUAGUUGGUGGGGUAACGGCUCACCAAGGCGACGAUACAUAGCCGACCUGAGAGGGUGAUCGGCCACACUGGGACUGAGACACGGCCCAGACUCCUACGGGAGGCAGCAGUAGGGAAUCUUCGGCAAUGGACGGAAGUCUGACCGAGCAACGCCGCGUGAGUGAAGAAGGUUUUCGGAUCGUAAAGCUCUGUUGUAAGAGAAGAACGAGUGUGAGAGUGGAAAGUUCACACUGUGACGGUAUCUUACCAGAAAGGGACGGCUAACUACGUG